UAACAGCCGCAUCUUGACGGCAGUCGGCUGUCACCAAAGGUCCAGGACAAUUAAGCUGCACUUCUCUGCAGGUUGUAGAAGACAGGGAGGCUUCACAUGGAACCUUUCUGCUACCUCAGUGCUCCGGCUGGCGCAGGAGCAUUCUCAAUACUAUGACGCAAAUGGUGAGGCCUUAAGAGGCUGUGAAAAGGCUCAAUGCCUUGACAGCGGCGCUAGGACAUGUGUAUAGGGGCUUAGCUAUGUCCUUCUCGUGGCAUUUUAUACGCAUUUUUUGGGGGAUAUGUGUUGCAGCUUCUGCACCAUCUGUAGAUUUUGCAUGUCUAGCUGUAAGACUACAAUGCACAUCACUUGCCUCACAAGCCGGGGCUGGUGGAAUAUGAGGAGGUGUGCAGAUGCGUGAGGCAAGAAAUAGAAAUAGGCAGGUGCCCGACUAGGAUAGUGUCGCAUAGUAUUGUAUCAAUAUGACGAGGUUACCGCAAGAGUAUUGUACUAUCGCUUUGGUGAAAGACAUUAGAGGAGAGGAUCAUGGCUUGGUCAGAGCUGGUUAUAGAUGGUUAGAACAACAAUGCAUUGGUGCAGAUGACAUUUCAUCGCGCAGAAUCAGCGCGCCAUUGUUCUAGGGUUAUUGGACAUGAGGAGAUGCGGUGAACAUUCACCUGCGUUGCUAGGGUCACCUGCAGACGCAUUUGGGAUCACUACAUUCAAGGGUCUGUAUAUAGGAGUAGGACUACUACACUGUGUACGUACCUGCUGAGAAUGGGCGGGAUUGUCAGGACAUCUGGUGACCGUUAGUGCAUGUCUGACUAGGUCUGAAUGCGGUAUGCAUAUCUCAUGUUCACAUGAUGUCACUUAGGGCUCUCGUUGACAUCAUGGUUGCUUCUCAGCAGAGCAUGCAGCACAAGCAUGCGUGCAAGAUAUUUUUUGAAAGGUAUAUUGCACAACAAACAGAUCUGGGAGGCCUCUAGAGGCCUCCCAGGAAGCUUAUGCUUAGGAGCUGCCCAGUGAGUAUAUGCGCUAUUGGAGGGCGACUUGCAGGUGCAUGCCAGUUACAAUAUAAUUACAGUACUAGAAUCAAUUGGGACUCUGGAGCCGGUGCGUGCACUAAUCCACAUGUGUACACACUAUGGUAGAUCUGGCAGAUCUGAAGUGCACAUCGGCUAGAACCAGCUACUUA
rnacentral:lncRNA from 1 species